AGCGGCGGACGGGUGAGUAAUGCCUAGGAAUCUGCCUGGUAGUGGGGGAUAACGUUCGGAAACGGACGCUAAUACCGCAUACGUCCUACGGGAGAAAGCAGGGGACCUUCGGGCCUUGCGCUAUCAGAUGAGCCUAGGUCGGAUUAGCUAGUUGGUGGGGUAAUGGCUCACCAAGGCGACGAUCCGUAACUGGUCUGAGAGGGUGAUCAGUCACACUGGAACUGAGACACGGUCCAGACUCCUACGGGAGGCAGCAGUGGGGAAUAUUGGACAAUGGGCGAAAGCCUGAUCCAGCCAUGCCGCGUGUGUGAAGAAGGUCUUCGGAUUGUAAAGCACUUUAAGUUGGGAGGAAGGGUUGUAGAUUAAUACUCUGCAAUUUUGACGUUACCGACAGAAUAAGCACCGGCUAACUCUGUGCCAGCAGCCGCGGUAAUACAGAGGGUGCAAGCGUUAAUCGGAAUUACUGGGCGUAAAGCGCACGUAUGUGGUUUGUUAAGUUUGGAUGUGAAAAUCCCCGGGCUCAACCUGGGAACUGCAUUCAAAACUGACUGACUAGAGUAUGGUAGAGCGGUGGUGGAAUUUUCCUGUGUAGCGGUGAAAUGCGUAGAUAUAGGAAAGGAACACCAGUGGGCGAAGGCCGACC
rnacentral:rRNA from 1 species